rnacentral:rRNA from 1 species
GGCGGCAGGCCUAACACAUGCAAGUCGAGCGCCCCGCAAGGGGAGCGGCGGACGGGUGAGUAACGCGUGGGAAUUUUUCCUGGAGUACGGAACAACCGAGGGAAACUUCGGCUAAUACCGUAUGAUGCCGAGAGGCCAAAGAUUUAUCGCUCUGGGGUGAGCCCGCGUCAGAUUAGGUAGUUGGUGGGGUAAAGGCCUACCAAGCCUGCGAUCUGUAGCUGGUCUGAGAGGACGAUCAGCCACACUGGGACUGAGACACGGCCCAGACUCCUACGGGAGGCAGCAGUGGGGAAUCUUGCGCAAUGGGCGAAAGCCUGACGCAGCCAUGCCGCGUGAGUGAAGAAGGUCUUAGGAUUGUAAAGCUCUUUCGCCCGUGACGAUNAUGACGGUAACGGGAGAAGAAGCCCCGGCUAACUUCGUGCCAGCAGCCGCGGUAAUACGAAGGGGGCUAGCGUUGUUCGGAAUUACUGGGCGUAAAGCGCGCGUANGCGGUUUUGCAAGCCAGA